GCAAGGCUUUUUGAAUGUGUUUUCUCUGCUUCAACUCGAGUUGAAUAACGAACGUCGCUACAGUGAGUUCGCUGUGUCUGGAGCCGUCGCCGACACAAUGUGCUGUCUGUGAGACAUGGCGAAAGUCGUCUGGAAAGCUUUUCUCUUUAGGCCAUAUAGCAAGUUAUAAGGCAGGAAGCUUUAGAAGAACUGAGUCGUUACCCAGAUGAUACUGCAGGCGCAAUUGUUUCGUAAGUGAAGAUGUGUACGUGAGUGCAUAUGCAGUGGUGAGCUACUCCCGGCCAGCCGACUCGUACGCUCCCCUCUCUUUCUGCAGCACCGGUUGAACUGCGCACCUAGCGCCUGCUCACCUGAAUAUCCAGAAAGGCGCCUUUUUACGUGCUCUUCUACGGGCACCCAAGUUUCCCUUGAAGAUGUUCACGUUUGAGUGCCCGGAUAGCGGCUCUGGCUUUUGGCUCAAGGUCACUUGAAGGUCGCCG